GAUGAACGCUGGCGGCGUGCCUAAUACAUGCAAGUCGAGCGAAUGGAUUAAGAGCUUGCUCUUAUGAAGUCAGCGGCGGACGGGUGAGUAACACGUGGGUAACCUGCCCAUAAGACUGGGAUAACUCCGGGAAACCGGGGCUAAUACCGGAUAACAUUUUGAACCGCAUGGUUCGAAAUUGAAAGGCGGCUUCGGCUGUCACUUAUGGAUGGACCCGCGUCGCAUUAGCUAGUUGGUGAGGUAACGGCUAACCAAGGCAACGAUGCGUAGCCGAACUGAGAGGGGGAUCGGCCACACUGGGAAUGAGACACGGCCCAGACUCCUACGGGAGGCAGCAGUAGGGAAUCUUCCGCAAUGGACGAAAGUCUGACGGAGCAACGCCGCGUGAGUGAUGAAGGCUUUCGGGUCGUAAAACUCUGUUGUUAGGGAAGAACAAGUGCUAGUUGAAUAAGCUGGCACCUUGACGGUACCUAACCAGAAAGCCACGGCCAACUACGUGCCAGCAGCCGCCGUAA
rnacentral:rRNA from 1 species